GCAUUUUUAUUAGUCCAUGGAUCGUCCCCCUUUAUUCGCUCUUGCUAUGCCCAAAAGUGCGGUGUGUGGUGCUGUGCAGUCUUGUAAUAUGACAAGAUCUACGUGGUCCUGAAACAGGAUGUUCACAAUUUAUGGUGCUGGUGAAAACAAGGUAGACGCACUUCAAAACACAUUGACCAAAAGUGGCUAAACCGGAAGCAGCAUUAAUUACUGCAUGGGAGGGGCUCCAAAGGCAUUCCCAGCUGUUUUCACAGUUUCUGCAUGUGGUGAAUUAAACCCAGAAGGUUUUGUGACGUUAGGCUGCUUAGCAACAGACUACCUUCCAGGAGAUCUAAAAUUUACUUGGCGAUCUGAACCAUCCAUCAGUGAGUCGAAGUUUGUGCAGACAACGUAUCCAUCUGUGUUAAGUAACAAAGGCACGUACACAGGUAGCAGUCAACUCCAGCUGCCUUAUUCAUCCUGUCAGGAAAACGUGAAGGUCAUUUGUGAAGUGAAGCACUCAGAAGGCAUAACGGAUUUUAACGUCCUGUGUCCAGAUACCACAACAAUCCCGCCAAAGGUGUUUAUCCUUCCCCCGGUGACUGAAGAAUUUACUUCUGGCUGUGGGCAGUCACCUUCGGCUACUCUAGUGUGUCUGGUUGAAUGUUUCAGACCCAGAAAUGCGGAAAUUAUCUGGUACAAAAACAAUGAACAGAUACAUUCAGGAGUAAUAACUCAUUCUGCAAUCAAAGGUGAAGAUGGGAACUUCACCACAAGCAGUCAGCUGACAGUGACCUUGGACAACUGGAAAAGAGACAAUAUUUUUACCUGCAGUGCCUCACACUCUAAGUGGACAGUGUCAAAAAACAUCAGCCGAUCUGAGAUACAGUGCAGUUUUGAAGAUGUGAAAGUUUAUGGUAUCCCACCAUCCAUUGAAGACAUUUUGUUGGCCCAGUCUGCAACACUGUCAUGCCUAGUAUCAGGACUAGCAACCCCUGACAGUUGCAAUAUUUCAUGGGCCAGGGGUUCUGAAUCCACAGAGCUUAAAUAUGAGCUUGACAGCCCUACCGUUAACUCAAACGGGACCUUCAGCGUCAUCAGUACAUUAUCAGUCUGCCCGGCUGACUGGAAAUCUGGGGAGGAAUUUACAUGCAUUGUGGAACACGUAUCAUUCCCGAGUCCCAAGCGAAUUGUUAUGAAGAAGGAGAAUGGUGGAUUAGUCAAGAAACCCCAGAUUUUCCUACUUCCACCUGCAUCAGAAGACCUUUCAACAGGUAGAACUGCAACAGUCACCUGCUUUGUGAAAGGAUUUUACCCUGAGGAUAUCUUUAUCAAAUGGCACCAUAAUGGGGAACCAGUCCCAGAACACGAGUACAGCCACACUAAUCAAAUAAGGGAAGAUGGAAACCAGUCCUUUUCCAAAUACAGCAAGUUCAACAUUAACGUCGAUGACUGGAACAAAGGCAAUACCUAUACCUGCAUUGUCGGUCAUGAGUCUUUAGACAUGAACAUCUCAAGCAAAACUAUUGACAAAUCAACGGAUCAGAAUAAUUUUUUGGUCCAAGACAUUGUAGAAGAAGACCCUGACAGUCUCUGGGCAACUGCAUCCACUUUCAUCAUGCUUUUCCUCUUCAGCAUUCUGUACAGUGCGGGUGUCACACUGUUUAAGCUCAAGUAACGUUGGAAGAAUAAAAUGUUCUGGAUUUUUUUGGAGAUGUCAUCACUGAUCUGAAACAAGAAAUAUCUGACUGCCAAGCUUAUUCUGAAACCACUAUUUUUCUGUUAGUGAUUUAUUUGGCUUAGCCAUUUCAACAGUGACUGUAUUGUAAAGCAUUAUUCUAAUAACAUGAUAGCAGCAGCUUCAAACAAAGACUGAAGAUGGCCGGAUUUAUGCUGUGUAAUUGUUGGGUAUAAUAUUGCUAUGAUAUAAAUAAAUAAAACUCUUUUAUAAAUUGUG